AACGAACGCUGGCGGCAGGCCUAACACAUGCAAGUCGAACGCUCGUAGCAAUACGGGAGUGGCAGACGGGUGAGUAACGCGUGGGAAUCUACCCAUUGGUACAGAAUAACUCAGGGAAACUUGAGCUAAUACCGUAUGUGCCCGAAAGGGGAAAGAUUUAUCGCCAUUGGAUGAGCCCGCGUCGGAUUAGCUAGUUGGUGGGGUAACGGCCCACCAAGGCGACGAUCCGUAGCUGGUCUGAGAGGAUGAUCAGCCACACUGGGACUGAGACACGGCCCAGACUCCUACGGGAGGCAGCAGUGGGGAAUAUUGGACAAUGGGCGCAAGCCUGAUCCAGCCAUGCCGCGUGUGUGAUGAAGGCCCUAGGGUUGUAAAGCUCUUUCGGCGGGGACGAUAAUGACGGUACCCGCAGAAGAAGCCCCGGCUAACUUCGUGCCAGCCGCCGCAGUAA
rnacentral:rRNA from 1 species